GACGAACGCUGGCGGCGUGCCUAAUACAUGCAAGUCGAGCGAAGUUUUUCUGGUUCUUGCACCGGAAAAACUUAGCGGCGAACGGGUGAGUAACACGUAAAGAACCUGCCUCAUAGACUGGGACAACUAUUGGAAACGAUAGCUAAUACCGGAUAACAGCAUUAACUGCAUGGUUGAUGUUUAAAAGUUGGUUUUGCUAACACUAUGAGAUGGCUUUGCGGUGCAUUAGCUAGUUGGUGGGGUAAAGGCCUACCAAGGCGACGAUGCAUAGCCGACCUGAGAGGGUGAUCGGCCACACUGGGACUGAGACACGGCCCAGACUCCUACGGGAGGCAGCAGUAGGGAAUCUUCCGCAAUGGGCGAAAGCCUGACGGAGCAACGCCGCGUGAGUGAAGAAGGAUUUCGGUUCGUAAAGCUCUGUUGUUAGGGAAGAAUGAUUGUGUAGUAACAAGACACAGUAGAGACGGUACCUAACCAGAAAGCCACGGCUAACUACGUG
rnacentral:rRNA from 1 species